rnacentral:misc_RNA from 1 species
UCUCCGUUGGUGAACCAGCGGAGGGAUCAUUGCUGGAACGCGCUUCGGCGCACCCAGAAACCCUUUGUGAACUUAUACCUUACUGUUGCCUCGGCGCAUGCCGGCCCCCCCGGGGGCCCCUCGGAGACGAGGAGCAGGCACGCCGGCGGCCAAGUUAACUCUUGUUUUUACACUGAAACUCUGAGAAAAAACACAAAUGAAUCAAAACUUUCAACAACGGAUCUCUUGGUUCUGGCAUCGAUGAAGAACGCAGC